rnacentral:rRNA from 1 species
UACACUCCUACGGGAGGCAGCAGUGGGGAAUUUUGGACAAUGGGCGAAAGCCUGAUCCAGCCAUGCCGCGUGCAGGAUGAAGGCCUUCGGGUUGUAAACUGCUUUUGUACGGAACGAAACGGCCUUUUCUAAUAAAGAGGGCUAAUGACGGUACCGUAAGAAUAAGCACCGGCUAACUACGUGCCAGCAGCCGCGGUAAUACGUAGGGUGCAAGCGUUAAUCGGAAUUACUGGGCGUAAAGCGUGCGCAGGCGGUUAUGUAAGACAGUUGUGAAAUCCCCGGGCUCAACCUGGGAACUGCAUCUGUGACUGCAUAGCUAGAGUACGGUAGAGGGGGAUGGAAUUCCGCGUGUAGCAGUGAAAUGCGUAGAUAUGCGGAGGAACACCGAUGGCGAAGGCAAUCCCCUGGACCUGUACUGACGCUCAUGCACGAAAGCGUGGGGAGCAAACAGGAUUAGAAACCCCUGUAGUCCCAUG